CUUUCCACUUUCACUUUUCACUUCUUCUUCUUGUUCCCAAUUCUCAGUUUCGUCAUUUUUAUUUCGAACCUGAUUUUUCGACUGAGCCACCGUGCCGGAACUCUCACGCCGCCGUCGUCGUCGUUUUCUUCUCCUUUAAGAGGAUGCAUGCUUGAAUUAUGGGCACGGAAAACUGAGUUCCUCUCUUAUAGCCACAUCUUUUAUUUGGAACUAUAACAUCCACAUGUUUACACUUAAUUUGUUUCUCUUUGUUUUUAUUUGGAAUAUUAUUCCAUAUAUGGGGUAGUGGAGUGUGGAAAGUAUUUCUAAAAGGAUUAUAUCAAACUAAAUAUGGAAAUAAAGUGUUCGCAUGCAUACGUA